UCACGCGCUUGGUCCUUACAGAGGCACUUGGCCGACACGCACUUCUACGUGCCGCAGUCGUUGUCCUGCGAUCAGUGCGG
rnacentral:pre_miRNA from 1 species